rnacentral:tRNA from 1 species
GUGAAUGUAGCUCAAUUGGUAGAGCAUCAGGUUGUGGUUCUGAGGGUCGUGGGUUCGAUUCCCACCAUUCACC